rnacentral:misc_RNA from 1 species
CCGAGUUUACAACUCCCAAACCCCUGUGAACAUACCACUUGUUGCCUCGGCGGAUCAGCCCGCUCCCGGUAAAACGGGACGGCCCGCCAGAGGACCCCUAAACUCUGUUUCUAUAUGUAACUUCUGAGUAAAACCAUAAACAAAUCA